rnacentral:rRNA from 1 species
GACGAACGCUGGCGGCGUGCCUAAUACAUGCAAGUUGAGCGAUGAAGAUUGGUGCUUGCACCAAUUUGAAGAGCAGCGAACGGGUGAGUAACGCGUGGGGAAUCUGCCUUUGAGCGGGGGACAACAUUUGGAAACGAAUGCUAAUACCGCAUAACAACUUUAAACAUAAGUUUUAAGUUUGAAAGAUGCAAUUGCAUCACUCAAAGAUGAUCCCGCGUUGUAUUAGCUAGUUGGUGAGGUAAAGGCUCACCAAGGCGAUGAUACAUAGCCGACCUGAGAGGGUGAUCGGCCACAUUGGGACUGAGACACGGCCCAAACUCCUACGGGAGGCAGCAGUAGCGAAUCUUCGGCAAUGGACGAAAGUCUGACCGAGCAACGCCGCGUGAGUGAAGAAGGUUUUCGGAUCGUAAAACUCUGUUGGUAGAGAAGAACGUUGGUGAGAGUGGAAAGCUCAUCAAGUGACGGUAACUACCCAGAAAGGGACGGCUAACUACGUG